UGUGCCUACGGGACGCAGCAGUGGGGAAUAUUGCACAAUGGGGGAAACCCUGAUGCAGCAACGCCGCGUGAGGGAAGAAGUAUUUCGGUAUGUAAAGCUCUAUCAGCAGGGAAGAAGAUGACGGUACCUGAUUAAGAAGCCCCGGCUAACUACGUGCCAGCAGCCGCGGUAAUACGUAGGGGGCAAGCGUUAUCAGGAUUUACUGGGGGUAAAGGGAGGGCAGACGGCAGUGAAAGUCUGGAGUGAAAGCCCGGGGCCCAACACCGGAACUGCUCUGGCAA
rnacentral:rRNA from 1 species